rnacentral:rRNA from 1 species
UCCAGACUCCUACGGGAGGCAGCAGUGGGGAAUAUUGCACAAUGGGGGAAACCCUGAUGCAGCGAUGCCGCGUGGAGGAAGAAGGUUUUCGGAUUGUAAACUCCUUUUAUCAGGGACGAUAAUGACGGUACCUGAAGAAAAAGCAUCGGCUAACUCCGUGCCAGCAGCCGCGGUAAUACGGAGGAUGCGAGCGUUAUCCGGAUUUAUUGGGUUUAAAGGGUGCGCAGGCGGAAGAUCAAGUCAGCGGUAAAAUUGAGAGGCUCACCCUCUUCGAGCCGUUGAAACUGGUUUUCUUGAGUGAGCGAGAAGUAUGCGGAAUGCGUGGUGUAGCGGUGAAAUGCAUAGAUAUCGCGCAGAACUCCGAUUGCGAAGGCAGCGUACCGGCGCCAGACUGACGCUGAGGCACGAAAGCGUGGGGAUCGAACAGGAUUAGAUACCCCCGUAA